GUGGGGAAUAUUGGACAAUGGGCGAAAGCCUGAUCCAGCCAUGCCGCGUGUGUGAAGAAGGUCUUCGGAUUGUAAAGCACUUUAAGUUGGGAGGAAGGGCAUUAACCUAAUACGUUAGUGUUUUGACGUUACCGACAGAAUAAGCACCGGCUAACUUCGUGCCAGCAGCCGCGGUAAUACGAAGGGUGCAAGCGUUAAUCGGAAUUACUGGGCGUAAAGCGCGCGUAGGUGGUUUGUUAAGUUGAAUGUGAAAGCCCCGGGCUCAACCUGGGAACUGCAUCCAAAACUGGCAAGCUAGAGUAUGGCAGAGGGUGGUGGAAUUUCCUGUGUAGCGGUGAAAUGCGUAGAUAUAGGAAGGAACACCAGUGGCGAAGGCGACCACCUGGGCUAAUACUGACACUGAGGUGCGAAAGCGUGGGGAGCAAACAGGAUUAGAAACCCUAGUAGUCC
rnacentral:rRNA from 1 species